GAUGAACGCUGGCGGCGUGCUUAACACAUGCAAGUCGAGCGGAAAGGCCCUGCUCUUGUGGGUUUCUCGUGUGGCGAACGGGUGAGUAUCACACGAGUAUCCCCCCCCUGUCAUUGUGAUAUCUUUAGGAAACUGCGGCUAUUAUCCGAUAGGAUCUUCUGCUCCACGGUGGGCGUUGGAAAGUUUCGGCGGUUGUGGAUGUACUAGCGGCUUAUCCGCUUGUUUGAGGGGUAGUGGCUUACCCGGGCUACGACGGGUAGCCGGCCUGAGAGGGUGAACGGCCGCAUUGGGACUAAGAGACGGGACGGAGUAGUACGGGAGGCAGCAGUGGGGAAGAUUGCACGAUGGACGGAAGCGUGAUGCAGCAAGGCCGCGUGCGGGAAGACGGCCUUCGGGUUGUAAACCGCUUUGGCCUGUGACGAGGCCUGAGUGACGGUAAUGGGUAAAGAAGCACCGGCUAACUCCGUG
rnacentral:rRNA from 1 species